rnacentral:rRNA from 1 species
GACGAACGCUGGCGGCGUGCCUAACACAUGCAAGUCGAACGGAAAGGCCCUGCUUUUGUGCGGUGCUCGAGUGGCGAACGGGUGAGUAACACGUGAGUAACCUGCCCCUGACUUUGGGAUAACUUCAGGAAACUGGGGCUAAUACCGGAUAGGAGCUCCUGCUGCAUGGUGGGCGUUGGUAAGUUUCGGCGGUUGGGGAUGGACUCGCGGCUUAUCAGCUUGUUGGUGGGGUAGUGGCUUACCAAGGCUGUGAGGGGUAGCCGGCCUGGGAGGGUGGCCGGCCACGUGGCGACUGCGAUACGGCCCAGACUCCAACGGUACGCAGCGGUGGAGAGUCUUACACAGUGGGCGGGAGCCUGAUGCAGCAACGCCGCGUGCGGGAUGACGGCCUUCGGGUUGUAAACCGCUGUCGCAUGUGACGAGGCGUGAGUGACGGUAAUGGGUAAAGAAGCACCGGCUAACUACGUG